UGGGAGGGGAGGGCUCCAGCUCUGCCUUCACCAAGAAGGCGUGGCCUCAGGCAGAAGGAGGAGCCAGAGGACGAGGGCGGGAGUCAGGUUCCCAGAUAGACAGAUAGAUGUGGCCCCGUGGAAUUAGGCUUUCCGGUUUAUGCAUCUGGGAGAUGUGUAACGAGCAACGUGUCUUGCAGGCACUGUGCAGGUACAUCAGGGACCGAAGUAAAGUCCUUGUCCUCACAAGCUGUCCGUGGUCGGCGGGGACAGAAAAUAAAUGAAGAUGAAAUAAGUCUACAUUCGUAGCUCUAUGUGAGCAGAACCAGCGAAUCCGUGCACGUUGUGGCAUCAUCCUGAUACCAUCCUUUGCAGGGCCUGUCCCUCCCUCUUGUCAUCUCAUGGCCACUGCCUGCAGCCUGACCGUCACCCUGUCUUCACUGGCCUGCGCUGACCUGACAUCCAUCCCUGAGCCCCGGUCCGUUCUCCACAUACCAGCCGGGGUGGGGGAGGGGGAUGCUUUCCACGGCCCUGACCACUUGCUGGAGGCCCCGUGCUGGCUUGCUUUUUCUUGGCAAAGUCCUAAUGCUCGCCACAGCCUGCGAGGCUCUGUGUCGUCUGCCCAAGGCCAUUAGGCCUGGAGUGUUGAUAUUUUGUGUGCAUGUGAUCACGAUGACCAGAUUUCUGUGAGGCGGUCAUGAAGAAGACAGGAACCGGGGACAGUGAUGGGAAGUGUAGGGAAGCGGAUGUCAGGGGAUUAAGAGGGAGACCUUUCUUUCUGUUUGAGCUCUCCGAUAAUGGGCAGCCUGCCUGGGGGAGCACUUAGCUCCCCAUCACCGUGUGUGUGCAGCACAGAGGCUGGGGGACUCCUUGGCAGGGAAGGUGUUGAGGAAAUCUGAGCGUUGGUUGGAAAGAUGAUUUAGCAGACAUCCAAGGUUUAUCUUAUCUCUCCUUUAAAUGUUUCAUCCUAAAGUUUCUUUCAGAUGCUCUUCAGGUAGAACACAGUCUGUCUUUCCAAAGGGGAGUUUCAAGAGCUAUCUAUGUUCCUAGCUGGCUAGCUGUAACCCAUCUGUCCGCUCAUCCAAGAUCCAUCCGUCCAGCCACCCACCCGCUAACCCACCAACCCAGCCACCAACCCAUCCCUUCAUACGUAUGUAUAUCCUACCCACCCAUCCGUCCAUCCACUCAUCCGUACAUGUAUCCUUCCAUCCACCUACCCUCCCACCCACCCACCUACCCUCCCAUCCAUCCAUCCACCCACCCAUUCAUCUAUCCAUCUACCCAUUCAUCCAUCCAUCCAUACACCCACUUUUCCACCCAUCUACCCACCAUCCACCCACCCAUCCAUCCACCCAUCCAUCUAUCCAUCCACCCACCCAUCCAUCCAUUCGUACAUGCAUCCUUCCAUCCACCUACCCUCCCAUCCAUCCACCCAUCCAUCCAUUCAUCCAUCUAUGUUUGUCAUGUUUCCCUCUUAUCUUCUUUUCUUUGUCAUAAAAAUGAUAUCAAGGAAGACUGGACAGACACAGACACAGCAACCACAAUGUGAAAUAACAUUUCUUCGCAUCCAUUUUGUCUCAGGCAGUAGCUAAGCGCUUUGAGUGUGUUGGUGUGACUGAAGCAGCAGGACAGAGGGUAGAUCUGGAGCCACGUGUUAGGGCUUCCAAUCCCUGCUCUGCCUCCUAAGAGCUAUGCUACUUUCAGCCAGGCAUUUUAAUUUUCCUGUGCCUCAGUUUCCUCACGUGUUAAAAAAAAAGGUUAAUCACCUACUUUAUAAGGCUGUUAUGAGGAUUAGAUGGGAUGAUGUUUGUAAAGCUAUUAAAACAAAGCCUGUGUGUAAGAGCCACUGCUAUUCAUCCUCUUAAUGGCCUUCAUUUGACACAGUGAUAAUAUUCCCAUUAACCAGCCGGGAAACUAGGCUUAGAGACACCAAGGCACACACCUGAAUCAUCCAGCUCUGAAGGGACGAUGCUAAGAUUGGAAGCUGAGUGGCUGUGACUUCCAAGUUCAUCGUGCUUUCAGACAUAAUGCGGUGUGCGCUGCCUUUUGCGACAAGGCGAUUGGCGUGUGCCUGAAAGGGAGCUGGGAGGAACGUUCCGGAGGGAUCUGAAGUGGGCAGAGGAACGCUCCCUCCUUUUGGUCUGUUGCAGAGCUGACUGGUGUGUGGGGCUGUGGCCAGUGCGUGGGCCAGGGGUGGCCAAGGAGAAGCUGGAGGCCGGAGGAGGGCGGGCCCGACCCAACUUCUACACGGAGGGAUCAGGAAGAGGAAAGACUGUCACAGAGGGAGGAUGCAGACCGCCCAUACCUGGUAUCCUACAAUCUGAGUUUUUACCAAACCAAAAGCGUAUGGUUUGUCGUAACUUUUAACUGACGUCUUGGCUCACGUACGACGACUACGUUUACUCUGAGUUAGGCUCUCGUACCGUUUUGACAAUGAAGAUACUCAGGAGGUAUGUUCCCUGCUCAACUUGCAUUGUCUAGGCCCUCGACAUCACCAGUACGCUGAUGUGAUUUAUGGUCCUGACAUGGGAUCCCCCCGCAGGAUCACUUUCCGUGGAAAUGGACUCCUAGGAAAAAAAUUCCAGUUUCCCUAGUACUGUUUGCUUUUUGUGGGUCUGUUAUGCCAACUUGAAGGUCCCAGAUUUAUAUUGAAAAACGGCCAUGGCUGAUUUCUUUUUCCUUCUGGAUUAAUUACCCUCCAGGCCAGUGAGGUCUCUUUCACACUCAAGAGAACGUUUUCUGCCUUGUGUAUCAAAUCCGACCCUAAUUUUGUUCUGACACCUUCCUCGCCGUUUGAUGAGAACUCAAUUAAUUUUUUACAUGAAAUCAAUAGGGGAAAAGACACUAAUGUCAUUCUCUUUUCUUUAUCAUCAGUAGCUAAUCAUCAGAGUCCUAAUCAGUUCUGGGAUAAUUUAAGCUGGGCAGUUUCUUUGAGAAAGAUGUUAUCAUAGGCAAGCCUGUUAAGAAACGAUAAUGGCUUACGUUUAUUAAGUGCCUCUUAUGGGCUGGACAUCAUUCUGCACUCCAGUGUGAGUCUCUCAUUUACAAGAGUACGUAUAUCGUUCGUACGGUGUAACAGAACUGGCCUGAGCAAAUACACUCACCUUACAGUGCAGUGAAAACAUGACAUCUUUGUGACCUGGGAAAAAUGAAUAUUCCCUGAGAACGCAGUGUUGGAAUCCCACCAACUCCGCCAACUUGUAGUAAGAAUUUCAGCCCAGCAUGUGUGAUUCACAGUGUCUCUGUCCCACGGAACCAUUAGAGAUUUGGGCGGGGGGAGGUGGAAAUUUAUGUGCAUUUCAUUAGAAACAAUUUAAAAUGCUCUAGGGGAUGGUGGGAAUUGCCUCCACAGCAAUGGAUCCAGUCCCGUAUGUAGACGAUGAAUUCUUAAUUCUUAUUUUCCUCUCCUGUGGCCAUUUGGGAAAUUUAACAGAUGAGAGUUGGCCUCAUUAACUGCAUGGCAUUUUAAUUGGUUUAAAGGCACAUUUUUCUUUCCUUUGUGGCUUUGGGGACGCCCUGGCAGUUUUAACUGUUGCCUCUUCUGACAGUUUAUCCAUGGUGAUUAACAUUAAAACUGUUUGGACAGGAA